UUUUAGAUGAAGAAGAUAGUAACUAUUCUUCUUCUAUCAGAUGGAGAAAGCUACAACUUUGGAACAACGAAAAAAAAAAGAAAAUUAAUAACAAAGAAAUAAUAAGAAAAUCUCGAAUAUCAUCCUCCAGUGUAUCUGAUUUAACUAAUUCAACAUCACUUACUCUGACAUCAUGCCCGUCGACGAGUAAAACAAAACAAUACGAAGGUGCUUAAUUUGAAAAACUACAUCGUGUGAUUGAUGAUAGAUUCCAAAGUAUUUUCAGUGAAAUAUCAGAUAAAUUUGCUAAACUGAAUACUCAGUAUAAUUCGUUGUCCUUACAUUUUCGACAACUGAGUCGAAAAAUCAUUGAAAUUCAACAUCAAUUGAAUCAUAUAAAUACACAGAAAUACAAAUCGAUAGCGAAGGUAAAGAUUCUGAAAUUAAACUUGUCUUGUAAAGCGAUGAUCAAUUUUGUGCAAUUUGACAAAAAACUUGAAAAAGAUAACUCAUUCCAGAAAGAAAAUGCACAAAAAUUGUUUCUGAAGAUAAACAAACGUAUACCCAUAACCAGAAAUUUUGCCGAAUUAUUAAGAUACUGUAUAUUUCGUGAAG